CCCUCAGCUCUCCACCUCCCUCAGCUCUCUCUUUAUUCCUCAAACCUCAUCCCCAUUCGCUCAGUUUAAAGCUUUGUCUCUGUGUUUUGUGAUGUGGGAACUGAUAAGAGCUGUGCUCUUCUGCCUCUCUCACUGAGUUCUCUCUACGUGUGUAACAGUGCAGAUUUUGACAACAGUGGUACCAUAGACUAUGGAGAGUUUGUAGCAGCUAUGCUCCAUCUAAACAAGGUCCAGAGGGAGGAUCAUUUGUUUGCAGCCUUCUCAUACUUUGACAAAGAUGUGAGUGGAUACAUCACUGCAGAUGAACUACAACAGGCCUGUGAGCAGUUUGGCUUAGAAGAUGUUCAGCUAGAAGAUAUAAUGCGUGAAGUUGACCAGGAUAAUGUACACCAACUUAGACUAAUCCAUGGAUUGAUCUUUCCCAUUUUGUCAUUUGGCCUCGUUUUUGUUAUCUAAAAAUUUCUUUGUUUGUGUAUGUGGGUUGGCCCUUUUUGUGUUAUUUGGUUUGAGGCUCUCUCUUUUUUGUUGAAGUAUCUGAAUUUUAGCUGGUUGAAUUGUUAUUUGGAUUAUAAUCUGUUUUGUUGAUUGGUAUUAUUUUGGUUGGUUCUAUUUAGAGUUUGUGUUUUCUGGGUGAUUAGAUUGAAAUUUGAUGCAAGUAAAUUGCAUUGACAUGCAUGGCAUGCUCCUUUGUAGAGAAUCAAUGUAUCAGUUCUUGCUCUCCCUCCAUUGGAACUUAUUACAGAAAUUUGGUGUCAAUGUAAUUGUGUAAUAUAUAUCAAUACAGCACAAAGGCGCGGUAUAA